GAAGCGAGAGAUGUUUCCACCGCGGCGCGAUCUUAUCAACUGUCUCACCACGAGAGCCGUGGAGCCAGUCAGGGAACGAAAACUUUAGCGGGACAUGUGCUGAGCAAGGCGGCAUUUGGAGUUUUGAUGGAUGCUAGCAGGACUUGACAACACCGGUCGAGAGAGAGAGAGAGAGACAGAGACACAGCCCUUUCACUCUCCCUCUCCGUCUCUCACUCAGUUGACAACAAGACAGUGAGCGGGAAUCCUGAGUCACUUGGAAAACCUGGAGCGUUAGAUUUGCAAAACUAUAUACCCUCAUUAAACAGGGCCUGCAAGUGGAUAACUAUGCCACAGAUACCUUUCAGGACCAAUCAGAGCUAGUGCACACAGGCACACACAUGGCCGUGUAAGCUUUGACUGUGCUAUCAAGGAAAUUCCUCAGUCCUCCAGGGUCACCUCCGUGGGUUCUCUAUCUGGUGACCUAUAAUCAUGAUGGCAUGCUGCUGAAAUUCAAAAGAAAGCUUGGGAUUGUUGUGUAGCAUGACCUGAUGUGGAUUCUUCUGAUCAUCUAACUGCUGCAAAACACGGGACAAAACAGGACGCUCACGGGAGACACGAUGGCCACUGAAGGAAAUCAGACACAGGUUGGGGCCGUAGUGCUGGCCCAGCGUGCCUCUCAUCCAUCCACUGGGAGCGGACCGACCAGAGAAGCCAGACAUGCAAAUCACAGCCAGGAAGUACGGCGAUACUCUGACCAAUUAUUGCAGUCAAAACAGAGGAGCAGCCCUUCCCUCGUCUUAUAUAGAAAGCUAUCGUUUGACAGUGGAGAAGGGACAAUUUUGGAUGAGGAAUACCAGUGUUUGGAUUACAGUUCAAAACUCUUGAGUACCGAAGAGAAACUUUAUCCAGAGCUCACAGCUGGCAAAAGAAUUGAAGGAAUAACUAACACAGCUGCUCCAAUACCUGGGAAAGGUUCAGAGGGAGCUCCGUGCCAGCGGGACACCCCUGGAGAGGAUGUAGAUGCAGGCAGAAACAGAACUGGGAUCCCCCGCUGCUCCUGCACCCAGUCUAGCCUUUACAUCAAUCCAAACACCUACUCUUGCUGCAGCCCCAGAUCCAGUCCAAGCCCCAAAUCCAGCCCUGUUCACAGUCCCAGUCCCAGCUCCAGCCCCUCUAAGCCUGACCAGCGACACCUCCGUCGCAGCAGCCUGCCUGUCUCUGUACUGUCUAUCCACAAGAAAUCACCUUGUGUCUCAUCGCAGUGCAACCCAUCCAGUGAACCGAGCUCUUUGGUGUCAUUUCCCUGUAGUUCCCCCCUUACCAACCCCCACCAGCAUCACCAAAAUGGACACAUCCGCCGGCACCAUCUCAAAGAUGGCUACUCGAGUUUAGAGAGGCUCAACAGAAGGCCCACAGUUAACAAAUGCUCCCUGGAGAAACUAUUCCUACGGCGUGCAUCUCUUGAAACCAUGACGACAACCUCGGGGCCAGGUGAGAGGUCACCCUCAGGAGGGAUCAGGAACUGCAGCGGGGGCAGCAGUAGUGAUGAGUUGGAUGGAGAUGGUCCUUUGGACAACACAGGGUUUGUUAGGAACCGUAAGGAGCGUUCCACUGUCCUGGUGAGGCGCUUCUUCAAGAAUAAUCAAAAGGUGACCAAGUCGGUGUGUACUGGAACCAGAGCAAUUGUCAGGACACUGCCGUCAGGACGCAUCUCAGAAGAGGUGUGGGAGAUGGUUGUUUACCACAGGAUAUGGCGACCCAGCAAGAAGGAUAUGUGGCCAAUCUUAAUGCGUGGUGUGUGUGAAGAAUUCAGAGUCUGCAGGGGGAUGCUACACUUUGUUUGGGUUAAGCUACAGCAGCUCACCAACUGUGUACAGGACAGAGAGGAACUCAACCUGAUUCAUCCUGCCAAAAGGCUCCUGCUGUCUUGCCCUGGAUGUGUGUGUCUCAGGGAGUCUCGUUGGCCCAGUGCCAGCCCAGCCAGACCUGAUCUGAACUCCUGCCUUAAUCCCUGGUGUUGUGAUCCUUCUCAGCCACUUAGGUGUUAUCUUUCUUGUGGCCAGAGGACAUCAGUGUGUUCCCUGCUGACUGGAGCCCUACUAGAGGCCACAGCUGCUCUUGGUGCCCGCUCUGCCCUGCCCUACCCUUUGCCCCAGGGUCCUAACAGCCACGCCGUGCUGAAAGAACGCCAGCUGGCCAACAGUAUGACCAGCAGCAGCUCUCUUCCUCCCAGUGUCAGCGGGAUCAGUAAGGAGCUGGCAGAGCUGCGACACUUUGUGCAGUUCCCUGAGGAGAUCGCCUGUAUCCUCACCGAGCAAGAGCAGCAGCUCUACCAGCGGGUCUUUCCCUUGGACUACCUCUGUUUCCUCACUCGAGACCUGGGCAGUCCCGAGUGUCAAACUAAACGCCACCCAAACCUCAAGGCCUCGCUGUCAGCGCCCACCAUGCCUACCCAGAGCACUCAGCGAAGUAACGCUGUGGAGGACCUGGUCACACGAUUCAACGAGGUGAGUUCGUGGGUGACGUGGCUGAUCCUGACAGCAGGCUCCAUGGAGGAGAAGAGAGAGGUUUUCUCCUACCUGGUCCACAUCGCUAAAUGCUGUUGGAACAUGGGAAACUACAACGGUGUGAUGGAAUUCCUGGCAGGACUCAGGUCUCGUAAGGUGCUGAAGAUGUGGCAGUUUAUGGACCAGUCAGACAUCGACACCAUGAGAAGCUUAAAGGACGCCAUGGCGCAGCACGAGUCUUCUUCUGAAUACAAGAAGGUUGUCAGCAGAGCUCUCAAUAUCCCAGGAUGCAAGGUUGUCCCAUUCUGUGGGGUUUUUCUGAAGGAGCUGAGCGAUGCAUUAGAUGGGACUGCAAGCAUCAUUAGCCUUCAACCACCUCCAGACAACACAGAGGACUCAAUAGAGUUUGUGUCUGACUACAGUGGCCAGCACAACUUCAUGUCUCGGUCUGGUCCAAAUGGCCUACACGUCCCAGAGAAAGAAGCCACUGUCAGCAACAUCCUCCAGAUUAUCAGAUCUUGUAAUCGUAGUUUGGAGACAGAAGAUCCUGAUGAGGCAUCCACUACCCCCUCCUCUACUGGUCCAUCCCCUGCAUCAAGAAACAACUCUUUCAGAGACCGCUGCCGCAAUCAUUCCCAUUCAUUUAGGACACCGCCAGAAUCAAAACGGGUCUUAUUCAUGGUCGGGGACUUGUCAGAUUCAGAUGGUGACUUGUCAUCUGAGCCAGUGGUGAAGGAGGUAGAGUUUCAGGGGACUGAGGAGACACACAGAGCUUUCAGCCAUGGCACUGAGCUCAUUCCCUGGUACGUGUUAUCACUACAACCAGACGUCCACCAGUUUCUGCUGCAGGGGGCUACAGUCAUCCACUACGACCAGGACAGCCACCUCACAGCUCGCUGUCUGCUGCGACUACAACCUGACAACACAACACUUACCUGGGGUAAGCCUCAGAGCGGAGGGGCCUCUCCUCCAGAACAACCACUGGGAUUAGGACAGACUGUAGUGGCAGGACUAGCAGAAGGCCUGUUGGACCUGGGAGUGGUGAAGGCAGUGUUUCUGGGUCACCAGGGAGUGGACGUCCAUGCUGUGUGUUUGCAGAACAAGCUGAGCCAGAUGACGGUGGAGGAGAAUGGUCUCAGCCUCCUCUACGGUCUCAGUACCACCGACAACAGGCUCCUGCACUUUGUGGCCCCAAAUCACACAGCGCGAACGCUUCACAAGGGCCUGUCAGAGUUGGUGAAUGCAACCAGAAAAUUAAAGAAGUUUCCUGACCAAAGGCUGCAUUGGCUGAGGAGGCAGUAUGUCAGUCUGUAUCAGGAGGAUGGCAGGUAUGAAGGCCCCACACUAGCCCAGGCUAUUGAACUGUUUGGUGGGCGCAGGUGGAACAUGAGUACAGGUGGAGUGGAGAAACCUGGUGCCCAGAAAAACAGCCCUCUGAGCAUCAAUGAUAAGGCCAAGAAGAAGAAGAAGGUCCUUGUCAGGGGAGACAGUGGGGAUGCCACAGAUGACGAGAUGGUUUCUAGGAAAACACGGAGCUGUAAGGAGGGACUGUAUCGGAGCGGCCCGGAGUCUGACAGCAUUGACCAAGAAGAUCCAGAGGACAGCUUCCCUGGACCAUUCUCCCUCUCAUCCAAUAAGAGCCCUGGAUUGGUAGCCUCCACUUCUUCCUCCUCCUCUUCUUCCUCCAGCAUGGCAGGGUCCAACCAGUCCCGUCCACAAUCCUCUCCAAUCCUUUCAGGAACCGCCAAGUCGCAGCCAGGGGCAUGGAGCAGCAGGUCAUGGCACGGUCGAGGUAAAGGCUGUUUCAAAGGCUUCCAGAACCUCAUGAUUUCUGACAGCACGAUGAGCUUCAUUGAGUUUGUUGAGCUCUUCAAGUCAUUCAGUAUCCGAAGCAGGAAGGAUCUGAAGGAGCUGUUUGACACCUUCGCUGUCCACUGCAGUCGAUCUAGUCCAGAGUCAGCUCCUCUCUACACCAACCUCAGAAUAGACGACAGGGACACGGGCCUACAACCAGACCUUGACUUACUAACCCGCAACAGUUCUGAUCUUGGCCUGUUUAUCCGGACGAGGCAGCAGAUGUCUGACAACCAGAAGCAGAUCUCAGACGCCAUUGCAGCAGCCAGCAUCGUGACCAAUGGGACAGGAGUGGAGAACGCAUCACUAGGUGUCUUGGGAUUGGCUAUCCCCCAGCUCAAUGACUUUUUAGUCAACUGUCAGAGAGAGCACCUGAGCUACGAUGAGAUUCUCAGCAUUAUACAGAAAUUUGAACCUUCAUCAAGCAUGAAACAAAUGGGCUGGAUGUCGUUUGAAGGUUUUGCAAGAUACUUGAUGGACAAGGAGAACUUUGCUUCUCGUAAUGAGGAAUCCCAAAUGAACCCAGAGGAGCUGCACUACCCUCUGUCCUACUACUACAUUGAGUCUUCUCAUAACACGUAUCUGACUGGACACCAGCUCAAAGGAGAGUCCUCUGUUGAGCUCUAUAGUCAGGUGCUGCUGCAAGGCUGUAGGAGUGUCGAGUUGGACUGUUGGGAUGGAGAUGAUGGCAUGCCAGUUAUUUACCACGGACACACACUCACCACUAAGAUACCGUUCAAGGAUGUGGUGGAAGCAAUUAACCGGGCUGCAUUUGUCAAUUCUGAUAUGCCCGUCAUCCUAUCCAUAGAGAACCACUGCUCCCUUCCACAGCAACGCAAGAUGGCAGAGAUCUUCAAGACAGUGUUUGGGGAACGUCUCGUGACGCGCUUCCUCUUUGAAAGUGACUUCAGCGAUGACCCUCACCUGCCGUCACCACUGCAGCUGCAGCGGAGGAUCCUCCUCAAGAACAAGAAGCUGAAAGCCCACCAGGCACCAGUGGACAUACUCAAACAGAAGGCUCACCAGCUGGCCCACAUGCAGGCCCAGGCUGCAUGUGGGCCUGCAUGCAGCAAUGGGUCGCCGGGGGUCACUUCACCUGGCAACCACGCCAACGAGGAAGAAGAAGAGGAAGAGGACGAGUACGACUAUGACUAUGAGUCUCUAUCAGAUGAUAACAUCCUGGAUGACAAGCCAGAGGGGAAGAUCUCAGCAGACAAAGAAGAGCAACCUGUUGAUGAAAUACCAAAGAGGAUGAAGAAGGCUGACAGCACCACACAGAGCAAAGGAAAGGUGUUUGACAUGGAGUUGGGCGAGGAGUUUUACCUUCCUCAGAACAAGAAGGAGAGUCGACAGAUUGCCCAGGAGUUGUCCGACCUCGUCAUCUACUGCCAGGCUGUGAAGUUCCCUGGCCUGUCCACACUGUCUCCGGCCGGCUCGGGCAGAGGGAAGGACCGGGGAAAGAGCAGGAAGUCCAUAUUUGGCACAACUCCCACUCGCUGCAGCACAACAGGGGAGGUCACGACCCAGAGCCGCACCCCUGGGAAAGGUGGCGCUGAGCGGCUGAGCUGGGAGGAGCAGCAGACGUCUCCCGUCCUCAACCCCCCUACCUCUCUCAGCGCCAUCAUCCGCACGCCCAAGUGCUACCACAUCUCCUCUGUCAAUGAGAACGCCGCCAAGCGCUUGUGCCGUCGCUACUCUCAGAAGCUGAUCCAGCACACUGUGUGCCAGCUGCUCAGGACGUACCCGGCAGCCACCAGGAUCGACUCAACAAACCCGAACCCCCUGCUUUUCUGGUUGCAUGGAAUUCAGCUGGUAGCACUCAACUAUCAGACUGAUGACCUGCCCAUGCAGUUGAACACAGCGUUGUUUGAGGCCAACGGUGGCUGUGGCUACGUACUGAAGCCAGCGGUGCUGUGGGACCGUAGCUGUUCACUCUAUCAGCAGUUCUGUCCGAUGGAGAGAGAUUUCGAGAAAAUGAGCCCUGCUGUCUAUUCCUUCACUAUUGUUUCUGGUCAGAACGUUUGUCCCGGUAACAGUGCUGGCAGCCCCUGCAUCGAGGUGGACGUUCUGGGCAUGGCCAUCGACAGCUGCCACUUCCGUACCAAACCCAUCCACCGCAAUACCCUCAACCCCAUGUGGAACGAGCACUUUCAGUUCACCGUGCACUUUGAAGAGAUGUGCUUCCUGCGCUUUGCCGUGGUGGAGAACAACAGUUCCCAGACUACUGCUCAGAGGACUCUGCCCCUGAAAGCCCUCAAAUCAGGUUACAGACAUGUCCAGUUGAGAACACAGCAUAAUGAGCCACUCGAAGUGUCCAGCUUAUUUAUCUACAGCCGCAGAACAGAGGAAGGUCCCACAGGGGGCGCUACUCCCUCAUCCUUGCUGUUCAGUUCAGAGGAGAAUCGUGUGUCCCAGCAGCACCGGGUGACGGUGCAUGGAGCUCCCGGUCCUGAGCCCUUCACAGUGUUCUGUGUUACUGAGCAGACCACUGCCAAACAGCUGCUCGACACGGUUAUAGCAUCUGCGGGAAGCCCAUUCGAUUAUUUCCUUUGUGAGGAGAGGGUUCCUCUGUUGAAGGAGCGCAGUGAGGUGAAGCGCUGUGCUCAGCAUCGACCUCUAGCACCUGAAGAGGAGGUGGUCAGACUGGUCUCCAGCUGGAACACUGAGGAGGGAUAUGUGGGGAGGAUUUGCCUCAAAACAAGAGAGGAGAACUUAAAUGAGAAGAACACAGUGCUGGACGGAGAGGAGGAGGUGACUGUGGGAAGUAGAGAGGGAGCAGGCGGAGGAGGCGGAGGAGGCGGAGGCGGGGGAGGAGGAGGAGGAGGAGGAGACGACGAUAUGUUCUUUGUCCAGGUCCAUGAAGUUUCACCAGAACAGCCUCACACUGUGAUCAAGGCCCCACGCUACAGCACUGCUCAGGACAUCAUACAGCAGACUCUGUCAAAGGCCAAGUAUUCCUACAGUAUUCUCUCAAACCCCAAUCCAUGUGACUACGCCCUGAUGGAGGAAGUGACCAAGGACGUGGGCUCUAAGAAGUCCUCCGCUGCAAAGCCUUUGCAGCGGGUGCUGCUGGAUCACGAGUGCGUCUUCCAAGCGCAGAGUCGCUGGCGGGGCGCGGGAAAGUUCAUUCUUAAACUCAAAGAGCAGGUGGUGCGGGAGGACAAAAAGAAAGUCAUUUCCUUUGCCAGCGAGCUCAAGAAGCUGACCAGUCGCAGUCGCAGCAUGACGACUGGCAGCGGAAUGGAAGGUCCUGCGCAGAGUAAGGAUGAUAGAGCUGCAUGCUGUGUGGCUCUGACAGAGCUCCAGGAGUGAGGCUCACACUCUGCCUGCUUUCUGUGCAUGGAAAGGCAACAGAGGGUAUCUGUCUGCGGCUGCAGGUCUGAAGGCGUGGGUGGCAGAGGGCAGGGUGGGGGCAGGAAGGUUCCUACAGGCCGCCGCUGCCUCCUCCUCCUCGUCCUCCUCCUCAUCCUCCUCCUCCCUUAGGGGGCAAGUCCAACCUGUCCAUCUGCCAACCUCCUCUCUGGCCCCCCUAGCCUGGAAGCUUCACCUCCUCAGGAACUGGAAGAUCCACAAAUGAAAUCCAGAGAGAGAGAGAGAGAAUUGCGCUGACUACUUCUAAACUUGGAGGAUUCCCCCUUUGCGAGAGAGGCAAGGUGUUUCAGUGAGGACCUGUCACAUUGUGGAAUUGUGGGAUACGCUUCUCUCUAAGUCCGGAAGGAGUCUGAUCCUGCCUUGUGUUAGUUGAGCACGUGGAGGACAGGAUUCAAUCCAAGCCCCCUUAAUGGGUUAGGUGACAGAUGUUCUUGGCUGAAUGAUGGACAGGAGUUCCUAAGUGGAAAUCCCACCCGGCGUCACUUUAGAGCAGUGAUGGUCAUGGGGGCAGCACCAGCUUGUCUUGGUUUAUUGGUUGUAGUGUGGCUCCCCAGAGAGUCCGGAUUACCAGGGGCAGCUGCUGUUCUUGAAUACAUCAGAAAGCACACAGCAGAUGGAGGGAGAUCUGCUAAGAAAAAUGCAAGGAGAGAUGUAGGAGAGUACGAGGGCCGAGGGGGAGAAACAGUAUUCUUCUCGCCUUCUCAGGUAUGAGCUCUUUUGGCUGAGGGCAUUGUGAAGGAGGCCGACAAGCUGGCUUGUAUGAUUCUUUUCUUACUGUUCCAGUUUCACAGUACUGUAAGGGCACAUUUUGGGGCAUUGCACAUCGACAUUGCUCCCAGAAAGACGCAACAUAAACAAAGUGAGACAACAUAUUCAGAUGUUUCCGUUUUAUUCAGAUAUUCUGUCAUGGAAGCAGCAACGUUUUAGACACUACUGUCCUCUGCCCUAAAGGUGACAAUACACAGCAGCAUUUUAAGGCAGUCUAGAUGUUCAAUAUUAACUUGUGCAGGGGCAACUGUUGAAAAACUUCUCGUCACAGUUGUCCUUCUAUGCUGCCUUAAGAUGUUGCAAGGCUGCCUUUUAACUUUAAUUUUGUAGCUGUAUCUCUGACAAUGAUCUUCGGCUGGUUCCACAAAGGAUUUUAGUGCUGUCAUCACUGUCCAAGAAUCAUUAUUUCAACAGGCUUCUCAUUUAAAAAAAUAAAAAUGAGAUAUUUAUGGUGUGCUACCUGUAACUAGGGCAGUGAAACAGUUUGAUGGUAGCACUGAUGUGAUAUCCGAGUGUUGGUGCCAAUACCAUACAUUUACUAAUAAAAGAAGAGGUUUUUGUAUAAAACUCUCCAUGUUUGUUUAAGAAAAGAAGCAAAAGUUCUCAAAAUUGAAACGCCGUCUAAACAGAAGCGGCCAUUAAAGAACUUUACCUAAAUACGAUACAGUAUAAAAUUGGUAAAUUUUGGAUUUAAAUCCAAAAUAAUCUGGUCAAAGAAGAUGCAAUUAAAAUUACAAAUCUUAUCAGGCAUUCGAUUCCAGCUUUCAUCACUUAGCAGUUUUCCAUAUUUAUUGUUACGACCACAUUUUAGUUUGUUACCAAAAAACAGAGGUUCAAUACCCAGACCUCAUGCAUAACAGUGUUAACACACCAUUUUACCGAAAUUGACAAAUGUAAAAACUUCAAUUUCAUCCUUCAUUUGAACUGAACAAUGAUGAUUUUCGACUUAUUUCCUUUGGAGAAACACAGCCUAGUCUUCUGCAAACAGCAUUUUGCACAUUUUGUUUUCCUUUUGCUGUUUUCUUCAGUGUUUUGGUGCGACUGUCUGAUUAAUGACAGCAGCAAUGCGAUUGUUAUGAGAUAGUCAUAUGAUUUUUUUUUGUUAUUAUGAUCAUAAUAUUUAUUACUUUUAAUUUUGGGGCAGUUACAAAUUUAUUUUUGAGGAAAGCACAAGAUGAAUAUUUGGACUGUUCUUAUAAAUCUUCGUCAAGGUAUGCAGUCCCAGGCCAAGCUUGAAAUUCCCUACACAAAAUGAUUCUUAAAAAGAAUGAUUUGUGUCGAAUUGAACUCUAUCGGUCAAGAUUUACAGUUCUUAAUUUUGAUUAAAGUAUCUUUAUAAAUUACUAGUAUUGAUUGAUUGUAAUUGAUAAUGAUUGUAGAGUUUAUUUCUACUUACUGCUCAUGUCCAUUUUCUUUCAGAAUGUUGUAAAACUCCAUUCAUUUUAGGGCAACCUUUCCCCUUCUUUUCUGUUUUGAUGUGUAAAAGUUCCAUAUUUUUGAAAAAUUUGAGUAUGGUAUAAAGACUUUUCCCCUCAUGUUUUUUUUUCUGGCAUUUCAGUUCAGAUUUUCCCCCUGGUGUAGUUACACCGUUGAGCCCACUAACAUUUAAAAAUCUACAGUAAAACGUUCAAAGACAACUAUUCACAAAAACUGCGGACUUGAUAGGAAGGCCUGACGCAAGAUCGCAUUUACAGAGCGUACAGCGGCUUUGCUGCACUGUGACUACACUUCCCUAACAUUAUAGAGACAGAAUGAAAACAUUCUUUUCAUAUUUACUCUGGGGGGAGGAAAAAACAGUUUUGUGAGUUGUUUAACUACAAGUGUUCUGACCCCACUCCUGCUAAAGAAGUGUUGGGUCAAGAAUAUAUUAAGCUGUUAUCCAGAAGUCAAUUUGCCUAUUUUUCACCCGCAUUCCAACCCCGACUGACUGAAAUUACGCCUUCAAAGAAGCUUUCCAAAACCUGCAGACAGUAAACGGUUUGUGUUAAAAUGCAGGAAACAAAGUAGAAUUUAAUUUAGAAUGUUGGACUUUUAUUUUAGAGGCAUUUUUGGCAAAUUUGGCCACACUCCACAAAAAUAAUUUAACUUUGUCCUUUUUCUUUCUUUUUAAGUAAAACUUUGCUCAGUGCCAAGUUAUGAUGUUUGAAUUUUAGUGCAAUAGUGAAGUUCUGUCACUUAAGCUCUUUAGGUUGUAUCGUCUAAAAAUAACUGACGUUUUUCUCCUGAUUUUUAACUCUAAUUCUUGUUCCUGACCUCUACUUGUUCUUGAAAUUAGUAAAAAUUGACAUAAUCCACGCACAAAGAUGGUCUUUGUGCGUGGCAAGCUAACUGUAAUUGAGGUAGAUUAGAUUGUGAUCCCGGAAACCACUCUUUGUUAAUGACAGUUAGGCUGACAGGUACCGUAGUCACUGUUACCCUUUCAGACUUUUGAUACUAUAAAUGAAACCUGUAGAAAUGUCAAUAUGCACAGAGAAAAGAUCAUGUUUUAGAAGGCUGGUGAUUACCGACAACUACCGUGCUGGAUAACAGUGAUAUAGGCUGAUAUAACUAUGUGAAAUCCAUGCUGACUUUAAACAGGAAGGGACAUUUUCUGUUGAAUUGUACAUUUAUGAUCCAUCUGCUUCACCACAUUUUCUUUUCCUUCUUUCUAACUUGUAGACCUCAUUUCUGAAUGUAACAUUUCUUAACGUGUUGAACCCGAGACAAAUGUGCGUUUGGAUGUUAUUUAUUUUAAUGUGAAGCCCUGGUUGGCAUUUUUCUGUUGUCCUGUAAGUAGUUUUAAGUGUUUUUUGUUGUUG